CUAAGAUUUACAAGAUUGGUGUGAUUCUAAUCAGCAGCAUACUGCUCAAGCACUGUUUAUGAGAACAUGUUGAUAUGGAAAAUAGGGCUGAAAAUAUUGUAAAAACACAUUCAGUCUGGUAUGGAAACAACUUCCAAGAAGUUAUUUUUGAACAAUUUCCACUUCUUGUCUUGUCCUUAAACAGGAAACAGUAAGAAUCAUAACAAUAACUAUGUUUAGGUUCUUAAGCUUUACAAAAUCUUGCAAGCAAGUUAAAGUCACUGGCACAAGUACUGGGAAAUUCUUAUUAAAUUCAGAUACAUUUUACCAUACUCAUUUUUUGCUUUCCUGACAAAGAACAACUGUAACUCCAAAGGUAUUUUCAUCAAAAAUACUUUUUAGAAAUCAAAGAUUACGUUCCUGUCUGUGACAAUGCUUUGACAGCAAAGGACUUCUAUCAGCUUUCCUCAGUUGGAGAAACUGGCUGAGAGCUCCUUGUUUAAUGAUUUCUUUAACAUGUUUGAUACAUCUUACUAGAAGAAAGGUAGACACUGGAACCAUGAAAGACUUGAAGGAAUACAGUGACAUGAGAAACAACCAGGUUUUCCAGUCCUUACUAAUGGUUCCCCUAGAAGAGGACAGACCACAUCCAAUCCAUCAAUAUAAGGAAACUUUCAGGUGCAACAUCGGAUUGAUGGUACUAGUGCCCUGUGGAUGUGCAUCAAUAUCGUACAGUGAAGAAAAGAUCAGUUACACAAUUCCUACAACUGUCAGUCACCACUGAGGCUGAAAAUGGGUAGUGUACAACAGAAGGGACUGCACAAGUAGUUUCUUCUUCAAGAUAAACAUUGGCCUGGCGAACUGGGCUCUUCCAAUAAGUUUCUACUGUGUAAUUUUUCAAAAGUUAAUCAAAUCACUCACCACCUGAGAACUGUUUUCAUCUUGUUUUAAAGAAUAUACUGUGAUUUAGAAAAGUGCUGAGCUCUUUCAGCUGUAACCAAUGAUAAGAGGAGCUAUGCUUGAGCAUGUUAUGCAACGUAAU
rnacentral:lncRNA from 1 species